UGGACAGAUUAUUGCAUUAUACUGUAUUCACGGCGUGAAACAGGGGAUUACACUGUUUUUAAACGGAAAGUGAAUCAAUUAACAUAAUAGACUCCU
rnacentral:pre_miRNA from 1 species